AGCAUACUCUAGCCCAACACACUAAGACUAGAAUGUCGAUUAAAAAUUUACCUCAAGACCUAGACUAAAACAUUCUUCAAACCUAGUAUAGGCGAUAGAAAAGGCACUUUGGCGCGAUAGAAAUUUUGUACCGUAAGGGAGAGAUGAAAUAACAAUGAAAACCAAAGCAACAGAUAGCAAAGAUAAACUCUUGUACCUUUUGCAUCAUGAUUUAGCAAGAAAUAGCCAAGCAAAACGAAUUUAAGCUUGCAACCCCGAAACCCGAGCGAGCUACUCGCGAGCAGCUAUUUAUGAGCAAACCCGUCUCUGUCGCAAAAGAGUGGGAUGACUUGCCAGUAGAGGUGAAAAGCCAAUCGAGCCGGGUGAUAGCUGGUUGCCUGUGAAACGAAUCUAAGUUCUCUCUUAACCCACUUCCCUAUAGAACACAAUCUUGAACCUAAAUGUAAUAAGUCAAGAGUAACUUAAAGGGGGUACAGCCCCUUUAAAAAAGAAAACAAUCUCCACUAGAGGAUAACCAGCCAAAUCCACCAAACCGUGGGCCUUCAAGCAGCCAUCAACAAAGAGUGCGUCACAGCUCUAUUCGUAAAAAUCCAACAACAAAAUGAUUCCCUUACCACUAACAGGCCAAUCUAUGUAAAUAGAAGAAUCAAUGCUAAAAUGAGUAACUAGGGAAACUUACCCUCUUAAGCGCAAACUUACAUCACUACAUUAUUAACAGACCAAGCCAAUAUUUCAACUUCUACAAGAUUAAAAUAUUAAACCCCCACCCUGUUACCCCAACACAGGAGCGCUCACUAGAAAGAUUAAAAUCUGUAAGAGGAACUAGGCAAACAUAGGGCCCGACUGUUUACCAAAAACAUAGCCUUCAGCCAACCAAGUAUUGAAGGUGACGCCUGCCCAGUGACAUAAUGUUCAACGGCCGCGGUAUCCUAACCGUGCGAAGGUAGCGCAAUCAAUUGUCCCAUAAAUCGAGACUUGUAUGAACGGCUAAACGAGGUCCUAACUGUCUUUUACAGAUAAUCAGUGAAAUUGAUCUCUCUGUGCAAAAGCAGAGAUAAGCACAUAAGACGAGAAGACCCUGUGGAACUUAAAAAUCAGUGACCACUAUUUAUUAACUUCAAACCUACAGGCCCAUUACUUAACAACGCUGGCCCACAUUUUUCGGUUGGGGCGACCUUGGAGAAAAGCAAAUCCUCCAAAAAUAAGACCACACCUCUUAACCAAGAGCCACUCCUCAACGUACUAAUAGUAACCAGACCCAAUAUAAUUGAUAAAUGGACCAAGCUACCCCAGGGAUAACAGCGCAAUCCCCUCUAAGAGCCCCCAUCGACGAGGGGGUUUACGACCUCGAUGUUGGAUCAGGACAUCCUAAUGGUGCAGCCGCUAUUAAGGGUUCGUUUGUUCAACGAUUAAUAGUCCUACGUGAUCUGAGUUCAGACCGGAGCAAUCCAGGUCGGUUUCUAUCUAUGACAGACUUCCCCUAGUACGAAAGGACCGGGAAAGUGGGGCCAAUGCUCUAAGUACGCCCUCUUUUAAAGUAAUGAACUCAACUAAAUUACUAAAAAACUAACAACACAAACUCCUAGAAAAGGACCU
rnacentral:rRNA from 1 species